rnacentral:lncRNA from 7 species
ACAGAAGUAGGAUGGAAAGGCCAAAGGACACAAAUCCACAGGAGACUGCUGUAAUUCUGCUGUUCAGGAAACAACAAGGCUCUUUCCCAUCUCUUCAUCUUUUUCCUGUGAAGGGUGAAAUUACCCACCCUAAAGGCAGGAAGACGCAUACACCUCCCUCACCAGAAGAGGCACAGCUUUGUAAUAGCAGGGCUAUUUUUUUCCCCAGGAAAAAGGAUGAAAUCAGCUAUUUACACUGGACAAAUUACAAGCUCUAGAAAGCACACGAGGCACACAAAGAGAGCAAUUGUAUCACAAAUAAAUAUAUGGUGGGGGUUAAGAUUAUUGAUUAGCUUCGUAAACGUAGUUGCCCAAUCAAUAGCAAUUUCUGGAAAUGCCUGGUGCUUAUUUAGUGCAGCUUGUACAAUGAGGAAAAAUAAUAAGUGUACUUAGGGAGCACGUCUCCUGACAGCAUUGUCAAGCCCCUCACAACACAAAAACAAACUAUGGUACAACAACUGUACAAGCUAGGAUUAAUCCCCCACGCCUUCUAAAAAUAAGGGGAAAAAAGCAAGCACAAAGCCAAACACAGCCACGCUAUCAAAAUAAUAUCUCAGAUCCCAAAGCGGUGUCGCUCUGAACAAGAUGGGACAGACAGAGCUCUGGUAAACCCCAGAGCUUCCAGCAUGCCUUUUAGCAUCCUCCUCAUAAGGACUUCCUGCAUCCUUUGUUACCACCUCGCAACAUCAGUGCAGUGGCCCAAUGGCCCUUGGAGGCUGGAAAAGACAUUAAGCAUCAUGCUAUGUACUACAAAGCACUGGAAGAAAGACAAACAAGGAUUCUUACGAACCUGGAAAUAAGUCAGGUUCCCAAACCUGCACCUACUUCAGGGCUCAGAAGGGCCUCUGAAGAACCGGCAUUCAAACUCUGAAAGACCACACCAUGGCCAGAAACCAGGACACCGAGCAUCACACAAAGGACUUUUGGGAUCAACCACAGUGGAUCAGCUAAUGAACUUGUUACUGCAGCUGGGCUGGUCUCCCAAGAUGUCUGUGUGUGGAGGGAGUUCUCUUCAAGGGAGAGAGGAUACACAAUUUUGGAUUGAAUGCAGUGUUCCAAAAAGGAAGGUGACUCAUUGAGCCUAAUCAUUAGGGUGUGUGAUGAUAUUAUCUAAUGAGGAAAUGCUUGAUGAUGCUUUUAGAGACUGCAGAGAGCAGCAAGCUGGCUGUAGAGGAAAUCAGAAUGUGAGCACUUUCAACAGUGUGCAAGAAAUGGGAUCUGAAAUGUCUUUGGGGAGAAGAGUGGAGAAAUUUCAACACCCUUAUACUCGCAUCAGGGUGUGUUACUGCUCCUGUUCAGUCUUACUUGUUCACAUAAGUCUCUCCUUAACGAACCAGCUCUCUAGAAUUCAGGACAAAGGAGCCUUGCCCAAGGAACAGAUGUCAUCUCGUUUGUUUUCUGCAGUUUGGUUUUGUAGUUGUUGUUGUAAGUCAAACUGCAGAUGAGGUUUUAAUUAAAGGAAACAGUCAGGUUGGUUUAAGUCCCAAAUCUAGAUUUAGUUAAGAAAGGGGUUUUACAGAACAUCUAAGACAAAGAGAAUCAUUUAAACUUUUUGGUUUUGUUGUGUUUUUGUUUUAGUCCUUAGAAUCACCCUCCCCUCCUUUUUUCUUUCUUUUUUUUUUUUUUUAGAAAUCUGCUAGAAAUUAGCUGUUUGGUUUCCUGUAAAGAAUCUGAAGCUUCUUGCCACCUCGUGUAAACCAGAGGAUGAAACUGUUUAGAAACACCAAGUAGUAGUCCCCAUUCUCUCUUUUUUUUUUUUUUUUCUAAGUUGAGAAAGAUGACAGAAUGAGCUGCAAGACUUGCUCUUCUUCUCCUCUAUGGGCCUACAGCACCUGGGAUGUGGAUAGGCGUUCCUCCUUGAACAACCACAACAGUGGGUCUCAUUGUGCUGCAGGAAAGUCAGUAGAAGGCUCUGAGCAUCCCGGGAAUACAUACUGGAGAAAAGUCUGAUUUCGUUCUUCAUCUAGGAAGUCAGCACUGAUCUUCUUACUUAUUUUUAAGUCCUCUGUAUCUGAUCACCUACUGUACUCAUCAUAUUGCAGAGGGAAUAAAAUCAAUCAUGUU